rnacentral:rRNA from 1 species
AGCCCUUGACAUGGACGUCGCGACUUCAGAGAUGAAGUUUUCGGUUCGGCCGGACGUUACACAGGUGCUGCAUGGCUGUCGUCAGCUCGUGUCGUGAGAUGUUGGGUUAAGUCCCGCAACGAGCGCAACCCUCAUCCUUAGUUGCCAUCAGUUCGGCUGGGCACUCUAGGGAAACUGCCGGUGAUAAGCCGGAGGAAGGUGGGGAUGACGUCAAGUCCUCAUGGCCCUUAUGGGCUGGGCUACACACGUGCUACAAUGGCGACUACAGUGGGCAGCGACAUCGCGAGGUGAAGCUAAUCUCCAAAAGUCGUCUCAGUUCGGAUUGCACUCUGCAACUCGGGUGCAUGAAGUUGGAAUCGCUAGUAAUCGCGGAACAGCAUGCCGCGGUGAAUACGUUCCCGGGCCU